UACGUAGGGUCCGAGCGUUGUCCGGAAUUAUUGGGCGUAAAGGGCUCGUAGGCGGUCUGUUGCGUCGGGAGUGAAAACUUACAGCUUAACUGUGAGCGUGCUUUCGAUACGGGCAGACUUGAGGCAUUCAGGGGAGAACGGAAUUCCUGGUGUAGCGGUGAAAUGCGCAGAUAUCAGGAGGAACACCGGUGGCGAAGGCGGCGUUCUGGACUGUUUCUGACACUGAUAAACGAAAGCCAGGGGAGCAAACGGG
rnacentral:rRNA from 1 species